UACGUAGGUGGCAAGCGUUAUCCGGAUUUAUUGGGCGUAAAGCGAGCGCAGGCGGUUGCUUAGGUCUAAUGUGAAAGCCUUCGGCUUAACCGAAGAAGUGCAUCGGAAACCGGGCGACUUGAGUGCAGAAGAGGACAGUGGAACUCCAUGUGUAGCGGUGGAAUGCGUAGAUAUAUGGAAGAACACCAGUGGCGAAGGCGGCUGUCUGGUCUGCAACUGACGCUGAGGCUCGAAAGCAUGGGUAGCGAACAGG
rnacentral:rRNA from 1 species